rnacentral:tRNA from 1 species
GCGGCGGUGGUGAAAUUGGUAGACACGCUGGUCUUAGGAGCCAGUACCGCAAGGUAUGCGGGUUCAAGUCCCGCCCGCCGCACCA